rnacentral:rRNA from 1 species
UACGUAGGGUGCGAGCGUUGUCCGGAAUUAUUGGGCGUAAAGGGCUCGUAGGCGGUUUGUCGCGUCGGGAGUGAAAACCUUGGGCUUAACUCAGGGCUUGCUUUCGAUACGGGCAGACUAGAGGUAUGCAGGGGGAGAACGGAAUUCCUGGUGUAGCGGUGAAAUGCGCAGAUAUCAGGAGGAACACCGGUGGCGAAGGCGGUUCUCUGGGCAUUACCUGACGCUGAGGAGCGAAAAGCGUGGGGGAGCAAACAGG